rnacentral:rRNA from 1 species
GACGAACGCUGGCGGCGUGCUUAACACAUGCAAGUCGAACGGAAAGGCCCUGCUUUUGUGGGGUGCUCGAGUGGCGAACGGGUGGGUAACACGUGAGUAACCUGCCCUUGACUUUGGGAUAACUUCAGGAAACUGGGGCUAAUACCGGAUAGGAGCUCCUGCUGCAUGGUGGGGGUUGGAAAGUUUCGGCGGUUGGGGAUGGACUCGCGGCUUAUCAGCUUGUUGGUGGGGUAGUGGCUUACCAAGGCUUUGACGGGUAGCCGGCCUGAGAGGGUGACCGGCCACAUUGGGACUGAGAUACGGCCCAGACUCCUACGGGAGGCAGCAGUGGGGAAUAUUGCACAAUGGGCGGAAGCCUGACGCAGCAACGCCGCGUGCGGGAUGACGGCCUUCGGGUUGUAAACCGCUUUCGCCUGUGACGAAGCGUGAGUGACGGUAAUGGGUAAAGAAGCACCGGCUAACUACGUG